CGACGAUGCCAACUGCAAGGAUACACUCGGAGCUUAUUCAUGUCUGUGUAAUGCAGGAUAUGCUGGGGAUGGUUUCGAUUGUGCAGGUAUAUCUUGUAAAACCCCAUUCACAGAAGAGCAGACAAAUUCAGAACGUAGACAAAGUUGUCCAGUGCCAUUUGUUCACCACAUGUGAAUUCGUAUAGUAUGUUUGUUUUUAUUUCGUCUUAUCCAUGUGGAUUUGAAUGGCAAAAUUGCGAAACCUUGAGUGAGUCAUUGCCUAGAAACUACUGAUCGCCCUAUUGAUAUGCAAAAGGCAUUAAAACUAGGCUAGUCAGCUUUUGCGAAAUUUUGUGAUAAGUAAUGAUAAUUUUAGAUUUUAUUUCUAGAAGAGAAAACGUGAUUUUAUAUCUCAUGCUUUAAUCUUAGUUUAGUCUUGAUACUUUCUAGUGAGGCAACAAUGACAACGUAUGAAAUAAUCUCGAGAGGAAAUAACUGACAAGCACUGAUCGAUUUAAAUGUUUUUUAGACGUGAAUGAAUGUGAUGGUGUAAAUGAUUGUGACGGAAACGCUAUGUGUUCAAACACAAAUGGGUCUUAUGAAUGUACAUGCAACAAAGGAUAUUCUGGUAAUGGAAAACAGUGUGAAGGUGACUACGUUAUUUUUUUUAAUACCG